GGGAACGGUCCUACGCCACUUCCGUCCGCUCUGGGUCCAGAACUUUGGCCUCAAAGCCCGCUUGGCGUGUGGGUGUGGGUGUUGCUGUGGCUGGGCUUUGGUCCGACUAGGAGUUUUCCGUCUUUCCUGGCAGUUUACAGCCUUGCGAUUCCGAGCACACCCGGAGUCGAGUGAUCAAGGCUUGGUCUUCGGACUUUGUACCGAAAGCCUGUGAGAGGCUUAUGGUGGGGCCGGGACCGGACGGCGAGGCAGUCCCUCCAUACCGCUGACCAAUGGAAUACUACCCAUCAAUAAAAAGGAAUACUCUGUUGGCUAAUACGCCUUGAAUCCAAAGGAAGUAAUGGGGAAUGAAAAAGCCCACCUCAGAAGCUUACAUGUUGUAUAAUUCUAUUUAUGUAACAUUUUAGAAAUGAUAGAAUUACAGAAGUGGAGAGCAGACAGCAUGGGCAGGGGAUCCUUAGGUGGUGGAAAGCCUGUCUUGGCUGUUAGUGUCAGUGCAGGGGUUGUGAUAAGGUGCUACAGUUUUCGAGAUACUAAAUAAAAAGCUUGAUUUAAGUAA